AUGACUGUACUCAAAAGAAUCAUUUCUAUAGGUCAGUCUCCGCUUUGUUUAUCCAAAACAAGGCAAACCCACCGAUUCCGAUGAGGACGUGAAAGUCGGCAGAGCAGUGAUGGUUUUUCAGUGACUUUGAGCCUCUUUUGGCCAAUGUGCUGUUUUCGAUGACCUGCGGUCUUUUUCUCGAAAGAGACCGACUCUGCCGACGAUCCUGAGGAAC
rfam:Ectocarpus siliculosus strain Ec 32, whole genome shotgun sequence assembly, chromosome LG09